rnacentral:misc_RNA from 1 species
GUUGGGAUGUCUUUCUCUUAAAAAAAACUCCAUAAAAUUAUCGUAAUGACUUCUUAAAAAUAUUAUAAACAUAGCAUAAAUGAAUAAACGUUUUCGUUCUUGCAUCACUUUUACGUGAAUUACCUCUUGAUGUAUCAUCUGUGUUACAUUUAAUUCAUUAUUCACUAUAAAAUUCUUAAAAUAUUUUUUUUACAAAUCUUAAAACAAAAAAUGUGUCAUUUAACAUCAUCUUCUUUUAAAAUUAUAUUUUUCAACUUUGGAUGUGUACAAAUAACCACUUAAACUUGCAUCCAACGAGGGUCACCAGGUUCACGUGAACCCAUGCUCUCCUUCCGAGAUCAUAUACCAUUGUGUUAUAUUUUUAAAAAAUAAUUCAAAUAUAGAUGUGUGGAUCCAUACUCGGAGUACAAUAUAAUGCGAUGAUGAUUGGAUGCACUUCUCUUCGUGAGGUUAGAAAUUUGAAUGUUAAUAUUUAUCUUGUUUAAUUUUCUUUCUAAAAUUAGAUAGCACCUCGCUAAGUGGUUAUUGGUAGCACUAUUGACAUAUGUAGUAUGUACGUAUAUAUAUAUAUAAAACCUAUAAUAUUAAAAUUUGAACGUUUUUUUAGUAAUAAGAACCUAAAGUCAAACCGAUCAAAUUUACAUCUUAAAUCAAUCUUUGUAAUAGUGCACCCAUCAUCUCGAAAUCUU